CCUUCCCCCAGCUUCAUUCACAAAUUCAGAUCCUAGAAUGCUGGGAUCCUGUCAAGAGACUGGAAGCUUCUUAGGGGAAAACCAGCUGCUCCAAGAGAAGAGGUCUCCAAAUAUUGAGGUUUGGGGAUCCCAUGGUGAAGAGUGUGGCUUGUUGACUGUCUUUUACAGUCAGCCCAAUAGUCAGCAAUCCCUGAUUGUACCUACAGAGGCUCUCAUCAACAUUUUAUUGCCUCAUUCUUUUAUUUGAAAAAUUUUGGCUGGGCGCACUGGCUAACACCUGUAAUCCCAACACUUUAGGAGGCUAAGGUGAGAGGAUCACUUGAGCCCAGGAGUUCAAGACCAGCCUGGGCAACAUAGUGAGAUCCCACCUCUACAAAAAAGAAUAAAAAAUUGGCUGGGCCUGGUGGUACACACCUGUAGUCCUAGCUACUUGGGAGGCUGAGGCUGGAGGAUAAUUUGAGCCAGGAGUUUCAGGCUGCAGUGAACUGUGAUUGCACCACUAUCCAGUCUGGGUAACAGAGUGAGACCCUCUCUAAAAAUAAUACAAAUUUAACAAGUUUUUUAUAGAUGGGGUAUCUCUGUGUUGCACAGGCUGACCUCAAACUCCUGGCCUCAAAUCAUCCUCCUGCCUGUGUAAAUUAGUUCAACCAUCGUGGAGGACAAUGUGGCGAUUCCUCAAGGAUCUAGAACUAGAUAUACCAUUUGACCCAGCAAUCCCAUUAUUGGGUAUAUACCCAAAGGAUUACAAAUCAUGCUACUAUAAAGACACACACACACGUAUGUUUAUUGCGGCACUAUUCACAAUAGCAAAGACUUAGAACCAACCGAAGUGUCUAUCAGUGAUAGACUGGAUUAAGAAAAUGUGGCACAUAUACACCAUGGAAUACUAUGCAGCCAUAAAAAGGAUGAAUUCAUGUCCUUUGCAGGGACAUGAAUGAAGCUGGAAACCAUCAUUCUCAGCAAACUAUCACAAGGACAGAAAACCAAACACCGCAUGUUCUCACUCAUAGAUGGGAAUUGAACAAUGAGAAUUUGGACACAGGGCGGGGAACAUCACACACCAGGGCCUGUCGGGAGGGAUAGCAUUAGGAGGUAUACCUAAUGUAAAUGACGAGUUGAUGGGUGCAGCAAACCAACAUGGCACAUGUAUACCUAUGUAUCAAACCUGCACAUUGUACACAUGUACCCUAGAACUUAAAGUAUAAUGAUAACAAUAAUAAUAAUAAUAAUAAAGAUCCUCCUGCCUCAGCCUCCCAAGUAGCUGGGACUACAGGCAUGAGCCACGAUGCCCAGAUAUCACCUCAUUCUUAAAUGUGGUGAACAGUUGAUGAUCUCCAUUUAUUUGAAGAAACCUCCUUACAUGAAAGACAGAACCUACAAUGAACAAACAAGAAAAGAAAAAAAAGAGCUUUAGAGGCCAGGUGUGGUAUAAUCCCUGCACUUUGGGAGGCCAAGGUGGGUGGGUCACCAGAGGUCAGGAGUUCGAGACCAGCCUGGCCAACAUGGUGAAACCCCAUCUCUACUAAAAAUACAAAAAAGUAGCUGCGCGUGGUGGCACACACCUGUAAUCCCAGCUACUUGGGAGGCUGAAGCCAGAGAAUUGCUUGAACCCAGGAGGCGGAGGUUGCAGUGAGCUGAGGUCACGCCACUACACUCCAGCCUAGGAAACAAGAGCGAAACUCCGUCUCAAAAAAGAAAAAAAAAAAAGAACUUGGAGGAAAUAAAAGCAGUACAGAAAGCCAGAAAACAUGUCAAAAUCAAGAAAUUCACAAAAAUUUUAACUUCCAUAUACUCUUCUCACUCAGGAAACUGCUGGAAGGAGCACUCCAUCCAAGUAAAGGUGUAUAUCAAGAAACAGAAAAACAUGUGGCUGGGCACAGUGGCUCACACCUGUAAUCUCAGAACUUUGGGAGGCUGAGGCAGGUGGAUCACUUUAGGCCAGAAGUUUGAGACCAGCCUGGCCAAUAUGGUGAAACCCUGUCUCCACCAAAAAUACAAAAAAAAAAAAAAAAAAAAAAAAAGCCGAUGUGGUGGCACAUGCCUGUAUUCCCAACUACUUGAGAGGCGGAGGCAGGAGAAUCACUUGAACCUGAGAGGCGGAGGCUGCAGUGAGCUGAGAUUAUGCCUCUGUACUCCAGCCUGGGUGACAGAGUGAGAGUCCGUCUCAAAAAAGAGAAAAAGAGAAACAGAAAAACAUGGGAUCUGGUAAACCAGAACUCCAACAAAGCAGAAAACAAAGAGAAUUCUCUAGAUCAAGCUUUUCCAACCCGUGGUGUGUGGCCCAGGAUGACUUUGAAUGUGGCCCAACAGAAAUUUGUAAACUUUCUUAAAACAUACUUUUUUGUGAUUUUUUUUUUAGCUCAUCAGCUAUUGUUAUUUUAUGUGUGGCCCAAGACAAUUCUUCUUCCAGUGUGGCCCAAGACAAUUCUUCUUCCAGUGUGGCCCAGGAAAGCCAAACGAUUGGACACCCCUGCCCUAGGUGAAGGUGAAGGAAGGUUCCAGGAAGUCAGCUGUGUAGCAGGCCUGGAGAGCACACUAGAGGAUGGAAGGCUCUAGAAGGGAUGUCUCCAAGAAAAGAAAAUGGAAAUGAUGGAUUACCUAAUAUGUCUGAACCUUUUGAACAAAAUUUCACAACUCUGGUGGAAAAUACGGAGAUGUAAUGGUGAUAGAUAUAGAGAAAACUAAGCAACCACCAGGUAUGGUGGCUCACAUCUGUAAUCCCAACAUUUUGGGAACUGAGGCAGGAGGAUGGCUUGAGCUCAGGAGUUUUGAGACCAGGCCAGGCAACAUUGUGAGACUUUGUCUCUACCUUAAGUAAAAAAAAAAUAGCCAGGAGUACUGGUGCACAUCUGUAGUCCCAGCUACUCAGGAGGCUGAGGUGGGAGCCUGGGAGAUUGAGGCUGCAGUGGGCUAUCAUCGCGUCACUGCACUCCAGCCUUAGUGAAAGAAUGAGAUCCAGUCUCAGAAAAAAGAGAGAGAGAGAGAUAAAACUAAGCAACUUAAGAAAGAAGGAAGAGCCGGGCGCAGUGGCUCAUGCCUGUAAUCCCAGCACUUUGGGAGGCCGAGGCGGGCAGAUCACGAGGUUGGGAGAUCGAGACCAUCCUGGCUAACACAGUGAAACCCUGUCUCUACUAAAAAUACAAAAAAUUAGCCAGGUGUGGUGGUGGGCACCUGUAGUCCCAGCUACUCGGGAGGCUGAGGCAGGAGAAUUGCUUGAACCAGGGAGGCAGAAGUUGCAGUGAGCCAAAAUUGUGCCACUGCACUCCGGCCUGGUUGACCGAGCAAGACUCCAUCUCAAAAAUAAUAAUAAUUUUAAUUUUUGUGUGUACACAGUAGAUGUAUAUAUUUAUGGGGUAUAUGAGAUGUUCUGAUACAAGCAUGCAAUGUGUAAUAAUCACAUCAUGUAAAACAGGGUAUCUAGCUCUUUAUAACCGAGGUUUUUAAUGUAGAUUUUGAACAUUCACUGUGCAUUGUUUGAUGUGGCAGAGCUAGCAUCUGUAGAUGUAUCUACUUGAAAUACACAUUGGAGGUAGGACAGAGUAGUCUAUGACAAGUUUUAAAGCACUGUCAUUUAAAUUGGAAAAGCUGGCAUGUGUCUGGUUUAUAAUACAGACAGAUGGGCAUUUCCUGUAAAAGAAGGCAGUUACCAUCGUAAUUUGAGAGGUCGGAGAGAAGCAAUUAGAAAUCUCACUUUAGCAACAUAAAACGUAAAAGCAUCUGUUUAAUGAAAUGUGAUAUUUGCAAGAGUUUAACAUACUAAACCACUGAUGUCCCUGUGCAGCCUAAUUUGAAGAAUUCAACCCCUCACUCAUAGAUUAAAGAUUUUAGUACUAGGGCUACUAUCACUCUCUCCAAAACUACUCACUACUACAACACUAUUGUGGAAUCACUCUUGUGGUAAUUCUUUGUGAGGGGUAUGUGUAUAUAUGUAUGUAUGUAUGUAUGUAUAAUAGAUAUAUAUAACUAUGUGGAUGUUCACUUCAAAAUCCUUACUGUGUCUCAAUUCCUUGACCUCCCUUCAAAGGAUCUCGUACCCUCUGGUACCUCAAUUAUCCAUUCUCAUAUGCAUUCCUUACACUGUAAUAUUACUGGUAACUACAGCUCCUCCUCUAAUUUAAUUCAAGCCUCCACUCUCCAACCAUCUCUUAUCGUUCCAAGGUCAUUGCAUAUAGUAACUAAACUUCAACAAUUCUUCAACCUGAUCAAAAACACCAGCCUCCGUCUCAAAAAAAAAAAAACAAAAAAAAAACUAAGAAGAAGAAGAAAGGGAUAAAAACCUCCAGGAGAAAUAGUCACAGCCAUAAAAAACAACGAAAUCAUGUCCUUUGCAGCAACAUGGAUGCAGCUGGAGGCCAAUUAUCCUAAACGAAUUAGUGCAGGAACCAGAAUACCAAAUACCAUGUGUUCUCACUUACCUUACCCCUAAAAGUUAGAUGCCCUUCCUCCAUACUCCCACAGUACCCUCUAUAUUUUUACCAGAGUCAUUAUAUUCCUCUUUACUUUGUGAGCCCCUUAAAAGCAGAGACCGGGUCUGUUUUACUCACUGGUAUGUCACUACAGUGCCAGGCUCAUUGUUCGCAUUCAAAUGGUUGUUGAAUGAACAAACUCAAAUGUAACUGCCUGUUUACUUGUCUGUCUUUCCUCAACAGGCUGUACGUUCUUUGGUGGAUGGAUCUGUGGUUUAUUAAGCUUUGUUUCUUUUAGCAUUUAGCACUCAGCAUGAAACCUAGCACACAGAAGUUUAUUGAAUAAAUUAGUCAGCAUUAUAAUUAAUCUUUAAAAUACAGUAUAUAGCAUUGAAGAAUAUAUAGAAAGUAUUCUCAAGAUACAGAGAGACAUGGGUUGCUCAGGAUUAUUCCUUUGUGUUUCACUUAUAGGAAAGAUCUCAUACUAUAGACUACAAAUGCCAAAUGACCUACUGUGCUCAUACCACCCUUAACCUAGAAAUAAAAUAGAAACAAUUCCUAAAGAGACAGUCUUAAAAAUAACCAGCUAAAAUUUUAUCAACAACAACAAAAAAGUAGUUGGGGUUUUUGCUCAUUAAAUUAGUUUGUAUGGGUAAGCACCACCUAAGUUUCUUGAUUCAUGGCAUGUGUUCUUAAACCAAUUUACUAUCCACUAAAAAUAAAUAGUGAUCAAUAUAUAAAAAGCAGUUGUAUUUCUUGACACUAGCAAUGAACCAUCUGAAAAUGAAAUUAAGAACACAAUUCCACUUACAGUAGCAUCAAAAAGAAUAAAAUAUUUAGAAAUAAAUUUAACCAAAGAAGUGUAAGACAUGUACACUGAAAAGUAAAAAACAUGGUUAAAAGAAUGGAAAGACAGCCCAUGUUCAUGGAUUGGAAGACUGAAUAUUGCUAAGAUGGCAGUACUCCCCAAAUUGAUCUACAGAUUCAAUGCAAUUCCUAUCAAAAUUCCAUCUCCCUCUUUGUAGAAAUGGACAACUGGUCCUAAAAUUCAUAUGGAAACUUAAGGGACCCCAAAUAACGAAUAAAUGUUGGAAAAGAAGAACAAAGUUUAUGGAUUCACACUUUGACUUCAAGAUUUACUACAUAAUCAAGACAGUGUGGUACAGUCUGUCAUAGGACAGACAUAUAGACCAGUGGAAUAAAAUUGAGUCCAGAAAUAAACCUGUGUGGUCAAUUGGUUUUCAACAAAUGUAUGAAGACAGUUUAAUGAGGAAAGAAUAGUUUUUUUCAACAAAUUGUAUUGACACAACUGGAUAUCUGCAUGCAAAAUAAUGAAGUUGGACCCUUAACUCAUACCAUGUACAAAAACUAAUUCAAAAUUGAUCAAAGACCCAAAUGUAAGACUUAAAACUGUAAAGUGUCUUCUCCUUCCAUCAAAGCUGGUUGGAUGUGAUUUCCAUGUUCAGAUACAAUUUAUGAUACUUGCUUCUUUUGAGCAUGCAUACAUUAGAAGAGCAUUUUUUGAUCAGUAUGUUUACAUGUAGUUCUUAACAGCUUUAUAUAUAUGUGAGCUCAGAAACUUAUUUCCAUCUGAAAAAGCACCCCUAAUUUUCUAUUUCCUUACCCUGCUUUACUCUCUCCAUAAGUAAUAUCACUGGACUAUAAGUUCCUUGAGGGAUAGGGCUUUUAGUUUUCAACUCUAUCAGCAAAAAUAUAAAGGUUGAUAGAAAAUAUAAAGCAGGAAAAUGCCUAUAAAUUAAAAGCCUGUAGAAAUUUCCAUCUUUACAUUUUAGCAUUUACAUAUAGAUGCCAUUUUUUUAUAUUUUCAGGAAAUAAAUAACUUUAGCUACCAGCCCACCCUUUGGAAGAGGUACAGAUUAUUUCCCACAUAAGAACUAAACCCCACAGUACUGGCCCAUGUCUUGAAGGGUGAAGGGCCAACUAAACUCACAUAAUCAAAUGCUUAAACCUAGCUUCCUUUCUUAUGGGAGAUACUGAAUUUUGUAAUAAACCUUUCUAAGAAUACCUCAUACCACUUAAGGUAACUCAGGAAAACUGUAUGUUAGUAUUCUUCUUUUCUGAUUUAUUUGUUCACAAUCCACUAGAAUACUUAUGAUUGCAGGUUCCAUUACCCUUAAAGUCUUGACCUUCUCUUUCCUUGGCUGCUCAGGUCAUAGGUGCUGCAAUCUAGAGACAAAAUAUUCCUUACACUGGCAGAUACUUGCAAACUAAGGGGAACGAGCUUCCCUCUGAAUGUUUAUGAAGGAGAGACCACUGUGAGGAUAGACAGUGAAGUGCAACUACAGCCCGCAAAUGAAAAUGAAUAAAAUUAAUCCAGCCCCUCAAG